AUUGAACGCUGGCGGCAGGCCUAACACAUGCAAGUCGAACGAGUGGCGGACGGGUGAGUAAUGUCUGGGAAACUGCCCCAUGUAGGGGGAUAACUACUGGAAACGGUAGCUAAUACCGCAUACCACCGCAUGUGCCCAGAUGGGAUUGGCUUGUAGGUGGGGGAAAGGCUCACCUAGGCGACGAUCCCUAGCUGGUCUGUGAGGAUGACCAGCCACACUGGAACUGAGACACGGUCCAGACGCCUACGGGAGGCAGCAGUGGGGAAUAUUGCACAAUGGGCGCAAGCCUGAUGCAGCCAUGCCGCGUGUAUGAAGAAGGCCUUCGGGUUGUAAAGUACUUUCAGCGGGGAGGCGUUACCCGCAGAAGAAGCACCGGCUAACUCCGUGCCAGCAGCCGCGGUAAUAC
rnacentral:rRNA from 1 species